CCUACGGGAGGCAGCAGUGGGGAAUAUUGGACAAUGGGGGGAACCCUGAUCCAGCCAUGCCGCGUGUGUGAAGAAGGCCCUCGGGUUGUAAAGCACUUUCAGUGAGGAAGAACGCCUGGUGGUUAAUACCCAUCAGGAAAGACAUCACUCACAGAAGAAGCACCGGCUAACUCCGUGCCAGCAGCCGCGGUAAUACGGAGGGUGCGAGCGUUAAUCGGAAUUACUGGGCGUAAAGCGCGCGUAGGUGGCUUGAUAAGCCGGUUGUGAAAGCCCCGGGCUCAACCUGGGAACGGCAUCCGGAACUGUCAAGCUAGAGUGCAGGAGAGGAAGGUAGAAUUCCCGGUGUAGCGGUGAAAUGCGUAGAGAUCGGGAGGAAUACCAGUGGCGAAGGCGGCCUUCUGGACUGACACUGACACUGAGGUGCGAAAGCGUGGGUAGCAAACAGGAUUAGAUACCCCGAUAGUC
rnacentral:rRNA from 1 species